AACGCUGAAGAGAGGAGCUUGCUCUUCUUGGAUGAGUUGCGAACGGGUGAGUAACGCGUAGGUAACCUGCCUUGUAGCGGGGGAUAACUAUUGGAAACGAUAGCUAAUACCGCAUAACAAUGGAUGACACAUGUCAUUUAUUUGAAAGGGGCAAUUGCUCCACUACAAGAUGGACCUGCGUUGUAUUAGCUAGUAGGUGAGGUAACGGCUCACCUAGGCGACGAUACAUAGCCGACCUGAGAGGGUGAUCGGCCACACUGGGACUGAGACACGGCCCAGACUCCUACGGGAGGCAGCAGUAGGGAAUCUUCGGCAAUGGGGGCAACCCUGACCGAGCAACGCCGCGUGAGUGAAGAAGGUUUUCGGAUCGUAAAGCUCUGUUGUAAGUCAAGAACGAGUGUGAGAGUGGAAAGUUCACACUGUGACGGUAGCUUACCAGAAAGGGACGGCUAACUACGUGCCAGCAGCCGCGGUAAUACGUAGGUCCCGAGCGUUGUCCGGAUUUAUUGGGCGUAAAGCGAGCGCAGGCGGUUUGAUAAGUCUGAAGUUAAAGGCUGUGGCUCAACCAUAGUUCGCUUUGGAAACUGUCAAACUUGAGUGCAGAAGGGGAGAGUGGAAUUCCAUGUGUAGCGGUGAAAUGUGUAGAUAUAUGGAGGAACACCGGUGGCGAAAGCGGCUCUCUGGUCUGUAACUGACGCUGAGGCUCGAAAGCGUGGGGAGCGAACAGGAUUAGAUACCCUGGUAGUCCACGCCGUAAACGAUGAGUGCUAGGUGUUGGAUCCUUUCCGGGAUUCAGUGCCGCAGCUA
rnacentral:rRNA from 1 species